rnacentral:rRNA from 1 species
GACAGAGGUGCCAAGCGUUAGGCGGAAUCACUGGGCUUAAAGCGUGUGUAGGUGGAUUUGUAAGUACCUUGUGAAAUCCCACGGCUCAACCGUGGAACUGCUCGGUAUACUGCGAAUCUUGAGCCACUUAGGGGCUACCGGAACAAAUGGUGGAGCGGUGAAAUGCGUAGAUAUCAUUUGGAACGCCAAUGGUGAAAACAGGUAGCUGGGAGUGUGCUGACACUGAGACACGAAAGCCAGGGGAGCGAACAGG